GAUGAACGCUGGCGGCGUGCCUAAUACAUGCAAGUCGAACGAACAGACGAGGAGCUUGCUCCCCUGACGUUAGCGGCAGGCGGGUGAGUAACGCGUGGAUACCCUACCUGUAAUACUGGGAUAACUUCGGGAAACCGGCGCAUAUCGCGUAUGAUCUCUUGAUCCACGUGGUGGGAUGGUGAGAGACGGUGUUUCUGUCUGUUAUAGCUGGAUACGGGCCGCAUGAGGUAGUUGGUAAGGUAACAGCUUACCAAGGGAAGGAUGCGUAACCGACCGGAGAGGGGGAUCGGCCGCAUGGGAACGGAGACAGGGUCCUGACUCCUAAGGGAGGGAGCAGUAGCGAACCGUCCGCAACGGGCGAAAGCCUUACGGAGCAACGCCGCGUGAGUGAUGAAGGUGUUCGGAGCGGAAAACUCUGUUAUGAGUGAAGAACAAAUGUGUAAGUAACUAUGCACGUCUUGACGGUACCGAAUCAGAAAGCCACGGCUAACUACGUG
rnacentral:rRNA from 1 species